AAAACGACUCUCGGCAACGGAUAUCUCGGCUCUCGCAUCGAUGAAGAACGUAGCGAAAUGCGAUACUUGGUGUGAAUUGCAGAAUCCCGUGAACCAUCGAGUCUUUGAACGCAAGUUGCGCCCUAAGCCUUCUGGCCGAGGACACGUCUGCCUGGGUGUCACAAA
rnacentral:rRNA from 1 species